CUAUACAUGCAGUCGAGCGGACAGAAGGGAGCUUGCUCCCGGAUGUUAGCGGCGGACGGGUGAGUAACACGUGGGUAACCUGCCUGUAAGACUGGGAUAACUCCGGGAAACCGGAGCUAAUACCGGAUAGUUCCUUGAACCGCAUGGUUCAAGGAUGAAAGACGGUUUCGGCUGUCACUUACAGAUGGACCCGCGGCGCAUUAGCUAGUUGGUGGGGUAAUGGCUCACCAAGGCGACGAUGCGUAGCCGACCUGAGAGGGUGAUCGGCCACACUGGGACUGAGACACGGCCCAGACUCCUACGGGAGGCAGCAGUAGGGAAUCUUCCGCAAUGGACGAAAGUCUGACGGAGCAACGCCGCGUGAGUGAUGAAGGUUUUCGGAUCGUAAAGCUCUGUUGUUAGGGAAGAACAAGUGCGAGAGUAACUGCUCGCACCUUGACGGUACCUAACCAGAAAGCCACGGCUAACUACGUGCCAGCAGCCGCGGUAAUACGUAGGUGGCAAGCGUUGUCCGGAAUUAUUGGGCGUAAAGGGCUCGCAGGCGGUUUCUUAAGUCUGAUGUGAAAGCCCCCGGCUCAACCGGGGAGGGUCAUUGGAAACUGGGAAACUUGAGUGCAGAAGAGGAGAGUGGAAUUCCACGUGUAGCGGUGAAAUGCGUAGAGAUGUGGAGGAACACCAGUGGCGAAGGCGACUCUCUGGUCUGUAACUGACGCUGAGGAGCGAAAGCGUGGGGAGCGAACAGGAUUAGAUACCCUGGUAGUCCACGCCGUAAACGAUGAGUGCUAAGUGUUAGGGGGUUUCCGCCCCUUAGUGCUGCAGCUAACGCAUUAAGCACUCCGCCUGGGGAGUACGGUCGCAAGACUGAAACUCAAAGGAAUUGACGGGGGCCCGCACAAGCGGUGGAGCAUGUGGUUUAAUUCGAAGCAACGCGAAGAACCUUACCAGGUCUUGACAUCCUCUGACAACCCUAGAGAUAGGGCUUUCCCUUCGGGGACAGAGUGACAGGUGGUGCAUGGUUGUCGUCAGCUCGUGUCGUGAGAUGUUGGGUUAAGUCCCGCAACGAGCGCAACCCUUGAUCUUANUGGCCAGCAUUCAGUUGGGCACUCUAANGGUGACUGCCNGGUGACAANCCGAAGGAAANGGUGGGNAUACCGUCCAAUCCAUCAUGCCCCNUUAUUAANCUGGGNCUUACACAGGUGCUUCA
rnacentral:rRNA from 1 species